AUUUAUUGUAUAUCAGAUUGAACUAUUUUGACGGGUUUCGCGAUCGAUGAACAUUAAACAAAGUAUCUGUUCGUUGUCGUCGAAACCUGCCUUAAAUAGUGAUAUGACGCGUCUGUACUUUC
rnacentral:precursor_RNA from 10 species